rnacentral:rRNA from 1 species
UACGGAGGAUCCGAGCGUUAUCCGGAUUUAUUGGGUUUAAAGGGUGCGCAGGCGGGAGAUUAAGUCGGCGGUGAAAUUUUGCAGCUCAACUGUAAAAGUGCCUUCGAAACUGGUUUCCUUGAGUGUAGAUGAAGUAGGCGGAAUUUGUGGUGUAGCGGUGAAAUGCAUAGAUAUCGGGAGGAACACCAGUGGCGAAGGCGGCUUUCUGGUCUAACCCUGACGCUGAGGAGCGAAAGCUAGGGGAGCAAACGGGAUUAGAUACCCGCGUAGUCCCUGAG